rnacentral:lncRNA from 1 species
CUUCUGGAAAUCUGUAUUAUUUCUAUUGUUCAGCUUAAUCAAUUACAAGAAAUACAAUCUCUAUUUAUACAUCUCUAAAACGCCACACACACAUUACUAAUUGAUAACUAAUUAUUAACUAAUUACAAGCUGAACUUCAACACACAGCACACAGUUGCUUCGUAACAAACUUUAACGACUUGUGCUGAGCUGUCAUCCUGCUUACUGGCUUCUGACGUCACAAUUAUGUUUCCUUUCUUUAGCUUAAAAUUCUCCUCCUCCUUCUUCCGUAUCAAAUGAGCUUCCUUAACAAGUAAGCUAGAGCUUUGCCGGUUAAUUCCAAAAUUGACUGUCGGAGAAAGUCUUCUUUAUGGCUUCCAAUAAACAUGAACC